rnacentral:lncRNA from 1 species
ACAAUGGCUUCCAGAGACCUGACCAUUGGGAUCUUUUUCCUGUCUCAGACUAUGCUGGGAAUGCUGGGGAACUCAGCCUUGCUAUGUUGUUUUAUCAUUACUGACUUCUCUGGGAUCAAGACAAGGCCUAUAGACCUAAUUGUCAAACACCUGACUUGGGCCAACAUCAUGGUUGUUAUAUGUAAAGGAGUCCCUCAGACAAUGACUACUUUUGGUCAUACAUAUUUUCUAGACGAUAUUACAUGUAAAAUUGUCUUUUAUUUGCAUAGAGUUGCAAGGGGAUUUUCCCUUGGUUCCACAUACCUGUUGAAUGUCUUUCAGGCUAUCACUAUUAGCUCCUGCAUUUCCAGAUCUGCAAAGCUCAAGGCUAGAAUCCCCAAAGUCAUUGGUCCUUCCCUGGUCUUGUGUUGGUCACUGUGUAUGCUUAUAAACAUCUUCAUAAUCAUGACAGUGACUGGUAUGAGAGAUAAAGGAAAUCUUACUGAAUUUAGACAAUUAUUGUACUGUUUAGCAGUAAAUAAUGCUAAACAAACUUACAGAGUGUAUGUUAUCAUAUUGGCCUCCAGUGAUGUCAUGUGUUUGGGACUCAUGAUGUUGGCCAGUGGCUCCAUGUUGUUGAUAUUAGCCAAGCAUAGGCAGAAGGUGCAGUAUAUUCACAGAUCCUUGGCUACUAAGUCAUUUCAUGAGACCAAAGCCACACAAAGUAUUAUUAUCCUAGUGAGCAGUUUUGUAAUUCUUUAUGGAAUUUCAUCUUAAUGAUGUAUUUUUCUUACCAAGAUAGAAAAGAUACAUGGCUUGUCAAGGUAAAUGUAGCCAUGAGUGCAUGCUUUCCAGCACUCUGCCCCUUUCUACUCAUCAAAACUAUACUAGGGUUUUUAAGCUCUGUAGUACUUAGG